rnacentral:lncRNA from 1 species
CUUAAAGAUUUACAGGAGCAUUGUGACUGGACCAAGGACAAAGAAGUUCCCAACCUCCUCGGACCCUCGCUGCUGCCCAGAUGUCUGCCAUGGGGUGCCAUCAUCGAAUCCACUGAGGGCGCAAAUAGAACAAAAAGGUGAAGAAAAGGUGAAUUCUCUCCUUUCUUGAGCUGGGACAUCCAACUUCUCAGACAUCAGAGCUCCUGGAGGCCUUCAGACUCCGAGACAUUACACCAUUGGCUCACCUGGUCCUCAGGUCUUUGGACUUGGAAUGAAUUACACCAUUGGCUUUCCAGGUCUUCCAGCUUGCAGAUGGCAGAUUGUGGGAUUUUUCAGCCUCCAUAACUUUGUCAUCCAAUUCCCAUAAUAAAUCGCC